AUUCCCCAGCAGAGGCUAACCGGUGGCAGAGGUCCUUGCUCUGGGUGUCAUCUCUACCUUCCCCACCUGCACCCCAAGCUGACUUGGUCAGGUUCCAGUGCUCUGCCGUCGAGUUGGCCAUGUUUCUCUAGGCCCCACUAUACUUUGUGUUGACACCGUGUCCCUCAACGACAGAGGUUGAAUACUCUGGGGGACCUCUGCACAAAUCUAGCUGGACAGAAAUGGACAGGUUACACAAGUCCACGUUGUUCAGAAGUACACACCUACCCAUCUUUCCAUUGCUUGCCCUCCAACAACCAGAACCCUGCGAUCCUGACCCAGCUUCUGUGGCUUUCUGAAGGGAUCUUUUGCCCUCCCUCCCGCCACCUGAAGAGAGGAGCCAUCAGGAUGAAUUGAUUCAUGAUGCCCCGCCUAACAGCAGCUAGAGUGAUGGCACAGUCAAGGCUGAGGACUCUGGGAAAAUAUCCAGCCUGCUCCCACAAGAACAGGAGUACUGGUAAGUCACUCUUUCUGAUGGUAUCCCUAGGGCUCAAACACUUGGUCCUUGCUAGUCCCACGGGGGAGCUCUGGUUUGUCCUUUGUUUUUAUUUUCAUAAAGGAUCUACGGGAGUUAUGGGGACAGGUCUGACACCCAACAUUUGGCUACACAAAUUUCAGGUCUUUUUUUUGACACAACUCUGGCUGACCUAGAAUUUAUUCUGGUCUCAAACUCAGCGUGCCUCUGCCUUCCGCGUGCUGGAAUUAAAGAUGUGACCACCACACCAGUCCCCCAAAGGUGAACUAUUAAGGACCACGUUGAGAACUUUGGGUUCCUAUAUGAAGGAUGGGGCUAAGAUGCAGGGGGCCUAAGAGAGCCCCUGGCAGGCACUUGGGUCUCAGAAAAGUCAGAGAUCCCAGAGACCUGUCACUUCCUGGAGACUUAAAGUGUGCCUGUUUUGACCUAUGCCCUGGGGACAUCCACAGACUUGGGUCCGGUGGAACAGAGACUACAGACCCAUCCAUGUCACUGUUGCUCCCAACUCAUGUGGCUGAAGCCAGCCAGGCAUAGUGCUUUUUGUUGGGGACAGUGACCCUAAGAUUUAGCUUGAACCUGGGCAGCAUCCAACACAAGCAGGAAGCUGAACCAGGCUUCAUAGGACUAUGUUUUGUGGGGAUUUUUUUGUUUGUUUGUUUUCUUUUUUUCUUUUUUUUUUUUGGUUUUUCGAGACAGGGUUUCUCUAUAGCACUGGUUGUCCUGGAACUCACUUUGUAGACCAGUCUGGCCUCGAACUCAGAAAUCCGCCUGCCUCUGCCUCCCGAGUGCUGGGAUUAAAGGUGUGUGCCAACACCGCCGGGCUCUUGGUUUUGGUUUUUAUUUUUGAUUAUCUGGGCAUGUCAUCCACACCUUUAUGCCUAGUGCUCCGAGGUGGAGGCAGGAAGAUCGGGAGAUCAAGAUUAUUCUUGGCUAUAAAGUUGCAGAGCAGGGCAGUGAUGGCCAUGCCUUUGAUCCCAGCACUUGGGAGGCAGAGGCAGGGGGAUCUGUAUAAGUUUGAGGCCAGCCUGGUCUACAGAGUGAGUUCCAGGACAGCCAAACCUACACAGAAACCUUGUCUUGAAAAAGAAAAAAACAGGGCUGAAGAGAUGGCUCAGCGGUUAAGAGCACCGAGACUGCUCUUGCAGAGGUCCUGAGUUCAAUUACCAGCAACCACAUGGUGGCUCACAACCAUCUGUAAUGAGAUCUGUAAUGAGAUCUGAUGCCCUCUUCUGGGGUCUGAAGACAGCUACAGUGUACUUACAUAUAAUAAAUAAAUAUU
ensembl:lincRNA Gm26710 predicted gene, 26710